rnacentral:rRNA from 1 species
GACGAACGCUGGCGGCGUGCUUAACACAUGCAAGUCGAACGGAAAGGCCCUGCUUGCAGGGUACUCGAGUGGCGAACGGGUGAGUAACACGUGGGUGAUCUGCCUUGCACUUCGGGAUAAGCCUGGGAAACUGGGUCUAAUACCGGAUAGGAGCCAUUUUUAGUGUGAUGGUUGGAAAGUUUUUUCGGUGUAGGAUGAGCUCGCGGCCUAUCAGCUUGUUGGUGGGGUAAUGGCCUACCAAGGCGGCGACGGGUAGCCGGCCUGGGGGGGUGGACGGCCACAUUGGGACUUGGAUACGGCCCAGACUCCUACGGGAGGGAGGGGGGGGGAAUAUUGCACAAUGGGCGCAAGCCUGAUGCAGCGACGCCGCGUGGGGGAUGACGGCCUUCGGGUUGUAAACUCCUUUCGCUAGGGACGAAGCUGUUUGUGACGGUACCUAGAUAAGAAGCACCGGCUAACUACGUG